GUGGGUGUAGGGAAGUGGUCAAACCCAUUGGCGUUAGGUGCCAACAGCCGAAGGGCUUUCCCGGGUUCGAUCCCCGGCGCCCAUA